rnacentral:rRNA from 1 species
UACGUAGGGGGCAAGCGUUGUCCGGAAUCAUUGGGCGUAAAGCGCGUGUAGGCGGCUCGAUAAGUCUGGUGUGAAAUCUUGGGGGCUCAACCCCCAAGCUGUCACUGGAUACUGUCGGGAUUGAGUCCGGAAGAGGAGAGUGGAAUUCCUGGUGUAGCGGUGGAAUGCGCAGAUAUCAGGAGGAACACCUAUGGCGAAGGCAGCUCUCUGGUACGUGACUGACGCUGAGACGCGAAAGCGUGGGGAGCGAACAGG